CUUCCUGUCCAACAUCAGCCCGGCCGUCUCCUUCGUCUACGCCGGCCAGCACCUCCUCCGCCUCCCUCUCUCGACACCAAGCAAACCUCGGUACGACAGAUGAUGAGCAGUACGCAGGUGGCUACUUUGUCGAGUUCACGGACGACGACUUCGUUGCGUAGCAGGAUCGUUCCUAAGGCAGCAGCCUGUGGCUUGUUGGUUAUGGAACCCCCCGCUUGAUUAUCUUCAGGACUCUUAGUCCAAUUUGGAUCUUGUCUGUACCCAGACUAUUUGCUAUUUUUAUGUAUGAUGUACUGUUGGGAUAUGUAUCCCGUUUGUGUGUCAUUUGGAUCUUGCUCAGUAGAGCGUUGCUAUAUAUGAACUUUAUUUCCAUCUUUUGUGUCUUACAUAGUCUUGUUGUGA